GUAGGUGGCAAGCGUUGUCCGGAAUUAUUGGGCGUAAAGGGCGCGCAGGCGGCGUCGUAAGUCGGUCUUAAAAGUGCGGGGCUUAACCCCGUGAGGGGACCGAAACUGCGAUGCUAGAGUAUCGGAGAGGAAAGCGGAAUUCCUAGUGUAGCGGUGAAAUGCGUAGAUAUUAGGAGGAACACCAGUGGCGAAAGCGGCUUUCUGGACGCNAACUGNCGCUGAGGCGCGAAAGCCAGGGGNGCNAACGGGAUUAGAUACCCCGGUAGUCCUGGCCGAANACGAUGGAUNCUNGGUGUNGGNGGUAUCGNCCCCUUCUGUGCCGGNGUUAACGCNNUNNGUAUCCCGCCUGGGGAGU
rnacentral:rRNA from 1 species